ACGAACGCUGGCGGCGUGCCUAAUACAUGCAAGUAGAACGCUGAAGAGAGGAGCUUGCUCUUCUUGGAUGAGUUGCGAACGGGUGAGUAACGCGUAGGUAACCUGCCUUGUAGCGGGGGAUAACUAUUGGAAACGAUAGCUAAUACCGCAUAACAAUGGAUGACACAUGUCAUUUAUUUGAAAGGGGCAAUUGCUCCACUACAAGAUGGACCUGCGUUGUAUUAGCUAGUAGGUGAGGUAAUGGCUCACCUAGGCGACGAUACAUAGCCGACCUGAGAGGGUGAUCGGCCACACUGGGACUGAGACACGGCCCAGACUCCUACGGGAGGCAGCAGUAGGGAAUCUUCGGCAAUGGGGGCAACCCUGACCGAGCAACGCCGCGUGAGUGAAGGAGGUUUUCGGAUCGUAAAGCUCUGUUGUAAGUCAAGAACGGGUGUGAGAGUGGAAAGUUCACACUGUGACGGUAGCUUACCAGAAAGGGACGGCUAACUACGUG
rnacentral:rRNA from 1 species